rnacentral:rRNA from 1 species
GAUGAACGCUGGCGGCGUGCCUAAUACAUGCAAGUCGAGCGAACAGACGAGGAGCUUGCUCCUCUGACGUUAGCGGCGGACGGGUGAGUAACACGUGGAUAACCUACCUAUAAGACUGGGAUAACUUCGGGAAACCGGAGCUAAUACCGGAUAAUAUAUUGAACCGCAUGGUUCAAUAGUGAAAGACGGUUUUGCUGUCACUUAUAGAUGGAUCCGCGCCGCAUUAGCUAGUUGGUAAGGUAACGGCUUACCAAGGCAACGAUGCGUAGCCGACCUGAGAGAGUGAUCGGCCACACUGGAACUGGGACACGGUCCAGACUCCUACGGGAGGCAGCAGUAGGGAAUCUUCCGCAAAGGGCGAAAGCCUGACGGAGCAACGCCGCGUGAGUGAUGAAGGUCUUCGGAUCGUAAAACUCUGUUAUUAGGGAAGAACAAAUGUGUAAGUAACUAUGCACGUCUUGACGGUACCUAAUCAGAAAGCCACGGCUAACUACGUG